rnacentral:misc_RNA from 1 species
AAGUCGUAACAAGGUUUCCGUAGGUGAACCUGCGGAAGGAUCAUUAACAAAUCCAAAACACUCGUCUUGGUCAUGCGGGGUUAGCCCGGUCCUAGUGUGUGGGCGCUUUGGGACGUGUGUCCCUCCCUCAUCCUUAGAAUGGGUGAGAGGGGAGCAUACCUCUUGGGGUGCCCACAUGGGAGGUCACGUUCUGCCUUUCAUGAACCGUAUAAAGACAAAACAUAUACAAACAUUGACAACCAAACCAAAAUAUUUAUUGAUUAAAUGUUUCACAAACAACUUUUAACAAUGGAUCUCUUGGCUCUU